UUUCCCAUUCGCUCCACCAUACCCCUUAACUUCAAGAUAUCAACUUUUCCCCUCAUCAUUGUUCCAGAAAAAUAAUCUCCGUGGUGACCUGGUCAUAUUUCACUCGGGUGUCACCACCACAACUGCUCAAUUCCCUUACUCUAUAUCUCC
ensembl:ncRNA B0285.15 ncRNA